AGUGAACGCUGGCGGUAGGCCUAACACAUGCAAGUCGACCGAGUGGCGGGGGGGUGAGGAGUACAUCGGACUCCACGCUGUCGUGGGGUAUAACGUGGGGAAACUUACUCUAAUACCCCAUACGAUGGUAUGCCCCGAUGGCGGAUUAGCUAGUUGGCGGGGUAAAGGCCCACCAAGGCGACGAUCCGUAGCUGGUCGGAGAGGAUGAUCAGCCACACUGGAACUGAGACACGGUCCAGACUCCUACGGGAGGCAGCAGUGGGGAAUAUUGGACAAUGGGCGCAAGCCUGAUCCAGCCAUGCCGCGUGUGUGAAGAAGGCCUUCGGGUUGUAAAGCCCUUUUGUUGGGAAAGCGGUACCCAAAGAAUAAGCACCGGCUAACUUCGUGCCAGCCGCCGCGGUAAUUC
rnacentral:rRNA from 1 species